CCUACGGGUGGCAGCAGUGAGGAAUAUUGGUCAAUGGACGAGAGUCUGAACCAGCCAAGUAGCGUGAAGGAUGACUGCCCUAUGGGUUGUAAACUUCUUUUAUAAAGGAAUAAAACGAGGCACGUGUGCCUUUUUGCAUGUACUUUAUGAAUAAGGAUCGGCUAACUCCGUGCCAGCAGCCGCGGUAAUACGGAGGAUCCGAGCGUUAUCCGGAUUUAUUGGGUUUAAAGGGAGCGUAGGUGGUUUGUUAAGUCAGUUGUGAAAGUUUGCGGCUCAACCGUAGAAUUGCAUUUGAUACUGGCAGGCUUGAGUGCAGUUGAGGUAGGCGGAAUGCGUGGUGUAGCGGUGAAAUGCUUAGAUAUCACGAAGAACCCCGAUUGCGAAGGCAGCUUACUAAGCUGUGACUGACAUUGAGGCUCGAAAGUGUGGGUAGCAAACAGGAUUAGAUACCCUUGUAGUC
rnacentral:rRNA from 1 species